rnacentral:tRNA from 1 species
GCCUUCAGAAAUAGCGCUUCUGAUCAUUCGUAAUGAUGGGGUCAGAGGUUCGAGUCCUCUAAGCGGCACCA